AAGCCUGAGAAUUUGGGUCUCUGAGGGAUGGAGCACAGCUUUGCAGAACAGGAAAGCGGGCUGCUCAGUUUCACACAUCCCCCCCCCCCCCCCCCCGCACGUGUACACCUCCCCUAGGGCGCUCGCCCAGUGCGCUUCUCCCUUCCCCCAAGAGAGGCUCAACUACUGACCAAUAUAAUCCCCUUUCCUUGUCUCCCUCCAAACCCCUUCCUCUCUCUCUCUCUAACCCUACGGAGCCAAAACGAGUCCUCAGCUUCUUGUGAUUGCUAUAAGGUGGAACAGGUUAUGGCAUCACCAAGGACUCUCAGAACCAGGGUUUCUGUAGGGCUCUCACACGGGUCCUGGCUCCCCGAGACCCCCUACCCCCCGCAGCGACCCAAGGCGGUCACCACUACCACCCGGAGGUCUCCAAUGCACAAGUAGCUUAAUUGCUAGCUCAGUGCUAAGAAACAGGCUUGCACCAAGCCAACCGACGCCCGCCGGGACCAGUUCCUGCCAGGCUCUCUGGGUAACCUAGGGACCUGUGUGGCGGGGGCGCAACACCGACCUACGAAAUGCUGGUAAUCUGACAGAGGGAGAAACCCCGCAGUUCUGCGGCUCUGCUGCCAACAGUUGGGAGCUUUUGAUGUUUUGCAACCUCACAGCUUCACAAGGCUUUCUGGUUUGGGUUUAUUUUUCCACCUCUCUUACUUUCGGCUCUCUAGUGUAAGCCGCUUUUAAAAUGUGGGCGCAGCGAAAUUUCCGAAGAGCAGUGGAGGUGUCAUCCAGACGCAGAUAACUGGAGGGGACCUCUAUCAGGAAGGAUCUCUAACUCAGACUUCCCUGUCGGUUUUCUCUCCUGUGUUGAUUUAGGGGUUAACUCCUCUUAAAACCAUUUUUGGAUCAAAGCCAACUGUGUUUAAUUAAAUAAAUACAUACCCGCCAUUUGUGA
ensembl:antisense Gm16339 predicted gene 16339